UACGGGGGGGGCAAGCGUUGUUCGGAAUUACUGGGCGUAAAGGGCUCGUAGGCGGCCAACUAAGUCAGACGUGAAAUCCCUCGGCUUAACCGGGGAACUGCGUCUGAUACUGGAUGGCUUGAGUUCGGGAGAGGGAUGCGGAAUUCCAGGUGUAGCGGUGAAAUGCGUAGAUAUCGGGAGGAACACCAGUGGCGAAGGCGAUCAUCUGGGGUUGUUCUGACGCUGAGGAGCGAAAGCUAGGGGAGCAAACGGG
rnacentral:rRNA from 1 species